rnacentral:rRNA from 1 species
GUCUGUGGCCAUACCACCCGGAACAUGCUCAAUCUCAUCUCAUCUGGAAAGCUAAGCAGGGUCGGGCCUGGUUAGUACUUGUAUGGGAGAAAACUGUUGAUUUCCUAUGAAAUAUGGAUAGUGUUGCCU